AAACAAAAGCGGGCUGAACCAAGCCGAGGCCGCUCCACAGAGAAAGCAUUUAGACCACCCCUAGCCAAAGGGAAAUCAGAAUCGCCCAUCCCAGCAGUUCAGAAUUGAGUUCUGAUGUGUCCGGAAUUGAUGGGUUGUCUCACUGACUUCAAGGAAAAAGCCGCAGAUCUCCGUGCUCCAGAAAAGGCCUGUAGUUCCAGCUACUGGGGAGGCUGAUGGAAGGAUUGCAUGAGCCUGGGAGGUCAAAGCUGCAGUGAGCUGUGAUCGCACCACUGCACUCCAGCCUGGGUGACAGAGUGAGACCCAGUCUCAAAAAAAAAAAAAAAAAAAAAAAAAAAAAAGCAAGCAAGCAAGAAAGAAAAAAGUGCUCGUUUCAGCAGCACAUAUACUAAAAAUUGGAAUGAUACGGAGAAGACUACCAUGGCCUCUGAGCAAGAAUGACACAAAAAUCCUGCAAAAUAAAAAGCCUGAGCAAAGUGACUUGCCCAGGAUGCCACAGUUCACAGUGGUAGAACCACAACUGGAAACCAGGACUUUGACUCCCAGGCAGCUGCCCCUUCCACGAGUUCCAUGUCCCAUGUGCAUGCUAUGUUUGUACUGGGGUCAAUGGCAACCGUCUUAUUUGGAUAUUCUUAUUUUCCUCUAUGCCCUGAGAAACCUGGUUUGUAGACAGAAAAGGCUGAUUUUUUGCUUCUAAAAGCUUAAGUUGACAUUUUGUGUUGUUUUGUUUUGUUCUCCUGGCCCAGCCUAACAAGCAUUCACAUAGUAGACAACACAUGCUUGCUGGACCUUACUUCCUGUCUGGUGACCCAGCUCCCUAGAGACUUGAAUCUCAAAUAAAUGUUUCUGUCAGGAGGCUGAGCUCCCAGCUGUGCAAAUUGGUCACAGAUGUAAUUGCAUUUGCCCUCUGCCCUGGAAGAAAACAUGCCUGUGGUUGGGGGUUUAGAUGUCUCAGAAUGAAAGACAUUACUCCUGACUCUGGGUAAUAGCCGUGACGCUCAAAAUAAGCUGCCACAGAGACACGCCAUAGUGUUGCCAGAUGUACAGGGCUGUUGCUACCCAGAAUCUGGAUCUGCACAGCCAGUUACCAAACUGUGGCCAUGUCAUUGGCCAAUCAGGCAUAGUCAAGAACCUAGCUUUUCCACUGGCUCCUCAUACUUUCAAACAUAACUCCAUCCCCUCUUCUCCUCUCCCUAAUGCCCACAAGAUCUCUGCAAAGAGCUCUAAUUCCAAGUUCCCUGAAUGGCAGACAAUGGCAGCCCUAGGACAUCUACACUGCACAGGCUGCAAUUGCUAGAAUCUAAUUAAAAUAAACAUUGUAACAAGCUGCUGAGCCCCGCCCAGUGCCUCAGGAGUGCAGUGAUGUGACACAUCUCACUGCAGCCUCCACCUCCCACCCUCCAGCAAUCCUCCUGCUUUGGCCUCCCAAAGAGUGGAAACUACAAGUGUGUGCCACUACACCUGGCUAAUUUUUGUACUUUUUGUAGAGAUGAAGUCUCGCCAUGUUAUCGAGGCUGGUCUUGAACUCCUGGGCUCAAGUGGUCCACCCACCUUGGUGUCCCAAAGUGUUGGAAUUACAGGUCUGAGUUACUGAAUCUGGCCAGAUAGAUAUUUUAAACCCAGUAUUUGUCUGCCUUUCUUCCUCAGUAGAAUUUGAAUGUACCAGGUGGCUGCUAGCUACACACCUGUGUAGGAUGAGGCUUAUCCUAUAUGUCUGCCCUAUUUGUCUUGUUAAAUCAUAUUAUUAUUCUGAACGCUUUCCUUCUAAAGCAGACAACCAAAGCAUAGGGUAUUAGCUCUUCUUAGUCCUUUUCCAAUCCAAACAUUUAGACUUCUUUCUGCUCACCCCUGGGCAGUAUCACCCUCAUCAAUUUCCUCUUAAUUGACUAGAAUGAAUUGUAACUAUCCCCAUCAGCAAUCACAUCUGUUAAGGAUUGCAGAGUGCCAUUGUUGUACGGGAAGAGCAUUUCAUUUGAGCCACCAAAAAUUUACUAACGUGUGGACACAGGGACAGAUACAGAGGAUUGCAAACUCCAGUUUCUGAAAAACUCGAUUCCAAAGCAAGGGAAAAGGUGCCCUCUAGUGGUAAACACAGCACACUACACCACAGCAUCCUUAUUCCAGACCGGAAGCCUGGCUAUUUGAAUCCUAUUUUCUGUUUCUUCCAGAAACCCUGAGGUCCAGACAGGAUGUGACACAUGAAGGUUUAAGUGAAUUAAAAUAGGCUGCUGACAUCUAAGGCCAGGAAGAAAUAAUGAGUACGGAUCCACUUUCACUGAGAGCAACCAUCUCUGCUAAGCCACUUCUUCAAUUUGGUGGCAAGUAACCAACUAUCUGGAAUGAGCAAGAAAUAUUCCCUUCCGAAUUCCUUGAAAAAUGUGGGGCUUAAUUUAGAAUAUUCAAGUUCUUUUGACAUACGUACUAAGACUAUACAGUUUUUAUAAGUAUUCUAAAAGCCCGUAUAAAUUACAGUUGAUUGGGAACUUUUAAUGUAAUAAUUGAGUCCUGACAUAAGAGACAGUGCAAUGCUCAGGAAAUAAUGCUGGCCUGAAAGCUUGGAGAUAUGGACUCCGUGACACAGCCUCUGCCACUAACUAGGUGACUUCGGGCAAGUCCUUCAACAUCUCUGACCUCCGUUUUCCCGUUAACAAAUGAAAGAAUUGGACUAAUAAUUUCUAAGCUUUUUCAGCUCUAAAAUGAUCUAAUUUGGCCAGGCGCGGUGGCUCAUGCCUCUAAUCCCAGCACUUUGGGAGGCCAACGUGGGUGGAUCACCUGAGGUCAGGACUUUGAGACCAGCCUGGCCAACUUAGUGAAACCCCAUCUCUACUAAAAAUACAAAAAUUAGCCAGGUGUGGUGGCGUGCACCUGUAGUCCCAGCUACUCGGGAGGCUGAGGCAGGAGAAUCGCUUGAACCCGGGAGGCGGAGGUUGCAGUGAGCCAAGAUUGCACCACUGCACUCCAGCCUGGCAACAGAGCGAGACUUCAUCUCACAUAAAUAAAUAAAUAAAUAAUAAAAUUAUCUAACUUAUAAAAACUCUUUUAGGAGAGUUAUAUUUUGAAAUAAUAUCUUUUGGGGAUUUGUGUGUAUUUCCUUCAUUAACCCCAGGGUACCCUCCCUUAGCCCACUACUAAAUAAAAACCAAGAUUCAGGACGGGCGCAGUGGCUCAAUCCCAGCACUUUGAGAGGCUGAGGCUGGUGGGUUGCUUGGGCCAGGAGUUCAAGAUUAGCCUGGCCAAUAUGUCAAACCCCAUCUCUACUAAAAACACACACAAAAAUAGCUGGACGUGGUGACGCACCCCUGUUGGGAGGCUGAGGCACGAGAAUCGCUUGAACCCAGGAGGCGGAGGUUGCAGUGAGCUGAGAUCGUGCCACUGGAUGCACUCCAGCCUGGGCAACAGAGCGAGACUGUUUAAAAAAAAAAAUAGUCAAAGAACUAGUCGAACUAAGGGUGAGAAAGAUGAGAAUCAGCCCAUGGAACAUGCUUUUGCUGUCCAUGAAUCUAGGAAAUACCAGGGCUGGGGAAAGGAGAAAGAGGAGUUAGAGAGGUGAAUUACUCAAAUGAGAAAAAGGGCCUGGAUAGGUAGAGGUAGGAGGUCUCAGAGAGAAGUGGGAAGGAAGAUCCUCAAAAGGACAAGCUUCCAUGUGUGUCCACACACCAGCUCACCGCUCCAGCCCAGCCCUGGGGACAAGUAUCUCUCCUGAAUAGAGGGGAGGAUGUGCACGCCUCCUGGAGGAGUGGGGACAUGAAGAAGCAUUUAUUUUAGCUCCUUUCCACUGAUUACAGAAGCACUAAAGAGAACAAGUUGGGAGCAUCUCCACGACAGGGAGGGCAGGGCACUGCCACUGGUACACACAGAUCCUGGAACUUUAGUGUGCAGGUGGACUUAAUAAUACUAAUAUUAGGAAUAGAGAUAUGUGCACAUCUGUUUUUAUCAAUCAAUCAGGUGUUAGCAUAAUUUGCUAUUUCCUUUUUAAGAUAGGAAGUAGCUUUUGGUUGUUGAAAUUGUUUCCUCUCUUGAUUAAAUUAAUUAUCCCUAAGAACUGAAGGCUUCAGUGAUCUCUGAGAAUUCUUCCAAAUGUGAAAUAUAGUUAUUCUAAGACAUUUCAAAGCUCAGGUUAUUGUAUGUUGGGUCUAAUGUUAGGCUUCACUGUACCAGAAUUCUAUUAUGUGAAACAUUACUUUAAAUGAGUAACUCGCCACCUAAAACAUGGAAUUCCUUCUUUGAUAUGGCAGCACUGUGUGUAGUCAGGGUUUUGCAUUACAUCUCUCAGGCCACCCGUGCUGGCUCAUGCCUGUAAUCCCAGCACUUUGGGAGGUGCUGAAGUGGGAGGAUUGCUUGAGCCCAGGAGUUCAAGACCAGCCUGGGCUGCUACAUGGCAAAACCUUGUCUCUACAAAAAGUACAAAAAAUUGCCAGGCAGUAUGCCUGUAGUCCCAGCUACUAGGGAGGCUGAGGCAGGAGGAUCGUUUCAGUCUGGAAGUUUGAGGUUGCAGUGAGCUGUAAUUGUGCACUGCACUCCAGCCUGGGCAAUGGAGUGAGAUCCUUUCCCUCCAACCCCCCAAAAAUUAACAAAUUACCUGGGCAUGGUGGCAUGCACCUGUAGUUCCAGGUACUCAAGAGGCUAACUUGGGAGGAUCCCUUAAGCCCAGGAGUCCAAGGCUGCAGCGAGCUGUGAUUGCACUACUGCACUCCAGCCUGGACCACAGAGCAAGACCUUGUCUCAAAAAAAAAAAAAAAAAAAAAUCUCUGUAUUAAACUAUCCACCAGAGGCAGGACAGAUGCCAGAAUGUGUUUUAACAUUAACAUAAAUGUAUUAAACAAAUACAUUCAAUCAAAUAUAGUACUAGAUGCUACAAAAAAAGUAAAAGCAGUCUUAAAUUUGAUUAUAGAUAGAGGAAGCAAUGUGCAACAAAGAAAGAGUUGUUUUAUUACUAAAGGGAAAGCGAGUAAAUAAGCUUAUUUGUAAGUGUUCAAGUUUCUCAAGGAAGACUUCUUAAAACACAAGAAUUUCAUUUUAUGGCAUUGUGCUUGUUUUUAAGGUGGGGUUGAAAGAAGGCAGAGAAAUCAAUAAAACUCUCUGGCUGGAUAACAGAAGCCAUUUCCAGGGCAACAAGGGAGGGAGACAUGCCGUGGAUUUAAAGGACACAGCAUUUGACUAAUGCAACAAAAGAGAUUGUCUUUUCAGGCUUUCACACUUCUGAGGACCUAAUGACUCCUCCCAGGGGGGCCUCCAACUCGACUCAGCUGUCCUGUGGCCCCCACCUAAAAGCGGGCUCAGCGCACAAGGACCGUUUUCCACACCUCUGUGACUGCAUCCCCACCCAAUCACCAGCACCCAUUCCCCUGCCUGCCAAACUAUUCUUGGAAAACCCUAGACUCUGAAAUUUCAGGGAGACUGAUUUCAGUAAUAAAACUCGUCUCCCAGUCAGCCAGCUCUGCGUGAAUUAAACUUUUUCUCUGGCAGUUCCCGUCUUGAUAAAUCUGCUCCAUCUGGGCAGCAGGCAAGGAAAAACU
rnacentral:lncRNA from 1 species